rnacentral:lncRNA from 1 species
AUUUUGAUGGGUAAGGCAAUGAAUAUGUAUAUUGCUUUUGGUAGUUAGGGUCGUUUAACAAUAUUAAUUCUGCCUAUCCAAGAUCAUGGAAGGUCUUCCAUUUUCUAAGGUCUUUUUAUAUUUCUAUCUUCAUUGUUCUAUAAUUUUUAUUAUAGCUGUCUUUCACCUCCUUGGUUAGAUUAAUUCCCAGGAAUCUUUUUAGGAUAUUGUGAAUGGGAUGGUUUUCUUGAUUUCAUUCUCAGAAGAGUCACUGUGGAAAUACAGAAAAGCUAUGGAUUUAUGAAUGUUGCUCUUGUGUCAUGCUACUUCGUUGAAUUAAUUUAUCAGCUCUAGUCUUCUGGUGCAGUGUUUGGGGCCUUCUAAGUAUAGACUCAUGUCAUCAGCAAACAGAAAGUUUAACUUCUUCAUUUCCUAUUUGUAAAUCUUUAUUUUCCUUCUCUUGCCUGAUUGCUCUGGUUAGGAUUUUAAGAACUAUAUUGAAUAGAAGUUGUGAGGUUGAACAUCCUUGUCUUGUUCCUGCUUUUACAGAAAAUGCUUUCAGUUUUUCUCCAUUCAGUACAGGCUUUGGGUUUGUCAUCUACAGCCUUUGUAAUGUUGAGGCAAGUUCUUUCUUUUCCUAGUUUCUCCAUUCAUGUUUUUAACACGAAAGGGUGUUGAACUUUAUCCAAGGCCUUUUCUAUGUCUAUUGAGAUGAUUAUGUGAUUCUUGUUCUUAAUUUUGCUUGAGUGGCAAAUUACAUUUUAUUGAUUUGCAUAUGUUGAAUCAACCUUGCAUGCCUGGGAUAAUACACUUGAUCCUGGUCUAUUGUGAUGUGAUUUCUAAUGUGGCUUGCUAAUAUCAAGGAUUUUUGUAUCUAUGUUCAUUAGUGAUAUUGGUCUGUAGUUUUCUUUCCUUGAUGUGUCUGUGUCUGGUUUUGGUAUGAGGAUUAUACUGUGUUCAUAGAAUAUAUUUGGGAAUGAAAUAAAUUGAGAAUGACUGGUAUUCGUUCUUCUUUCAAGGUCUGGUAGAACAUGGCUGAGAAUACACCGGGUCCUGGGCUUUCCUCUGUUGGAAGGUUUUGUGCUGUUGCAAUUUCACUACUUGAUAUUUGUCUGUUUAGGUUUUCUAUGUCUUUCUGGUUCAACUUGGGCAGGUCAUAUUUGUCCAGAAAUUCAUUGGUAUCUUAUGGAUUUUCCAGUUUAUUGGAGUAUAAAAUUUCAAAAUAAUUUCUAAUGAUUGUGUGUGUUUUAGAAGUGUCUGUGAUGAUAUCUCCCUUUAAAUCUCUAAUUAUGUUUAUGUGGGUCUUCUCUUUCUUUUGGUUGAUUUUGCUAAGGGUUCAUCAAUCGUAUUAAGCUUUCCAUAGAACUCUUUAUUGCAUUGAUCCUGUAUAUUUUUAUUCUCUAUUCAUUAAUUUGGACUCUGAUAUUAUUUCCUGUCUUCUGAUCAUUUUGGAAUUAAUUGGCUCUUCCUUUUCUAAGGCCUUGAAGUGGAACAUAA